GCAGGCUGCAACCCGCCUGCAUGAAGUCGGAAUUGCUAGUAAUCGCGGAUCAGCAUGCCGCGGUGAAUACGUUCCCGGGCCUUGUACACACCGCCCGUCACACCAUGAGAGCCGGUAACACCCGAAGUCAGAAGCCUAACCGCAAGGAGGGCGCUGCCGAAGGUGGGAUUGGUAAUUGGGGUGAAGUCGUAACAAGGUACC
rnacentral:rRNA from 1 species